rnacentral:rRNA from 1 species
UACGUAGGGUGCGAGCGUUAAUCGGAAUUACUGGGCGUAAAGCGUGCGCAGGCGGUUCGUUGUGUCUGAUGUGAAAGCCCCGGGCUUAACCUGGGAACGGCAUUGGAAACUGGCGAGCUUGAGUGUGGCAGAGGGGGGUGGAAUUCCGCGUGUAGCAGUGAAAUGCGUAGAGAUGCGGAGGAACACCUGAGGCGAAGGCGGGCUACUGGGCCGAUACUGACGCUGAUGUGCGAAAGCCAGGGGAGCGAACGGG